rnacentral:rRNA from 1 species
UCGGGAAUUUUGGGCAAUGGGCGAAAGCCUGACCCAGCAACGCCGCGUGAGGGAUGAAGUAUUUCGGUAUGUAAACCUCGAAAGAAUGGGAAGAAUAAAUGACGGUACCAUUUGUAAGCUCCGGCUAACUACGUGCCAGCAGCCGCGGUAAUACGUAGGGAGCAAGCGUUGUUCGGAUUUACUGGGCGUAAAGGGCGCGUAGGCGGCGCGGUAAGUCACUUGUGAAAUCUCUGAGCUUAACUCAGAACGGCCAAGUGAUACUGCUGUGCUAGAGUGCGGAAGAGGCAACCGGAAUUCUUGGUGUAGCGGUGAAAUGCGUAGAUAUCAAGAGGAACACCUGAGGCGAAGGCGGGUUGCUGGGCCGACACUGACGCUGAUGCGCGAAAGCCAGGGGAGCAAACG